rnacentral:tRNA from 1 species
CGGCCCGUAGCUCAGGGGUCAGAGCCUUCGGCUGAUAUCCGAAAGGUGGAGGUUCGACUCCUCCCGGGCCGAC